UACGUAGGCAGCAAGCGUUGUUCGGAGUUACUGGGCGUAAAGGGUGCGUAGGCGGUCCUAUAAGUAUGGUGUGAAAUCUCCCGGCUUAACUGGGAGGGUGCGCUAUAGACUGUGGGACUAGAGUGUGGGAGAGGAAAGUGGAAUUCCUGGUGUAGCGGUGAAAUGCGUAGAUAUCAGGAGGAAUACCGAUGGCGAAGGCAGGUCUCUGGGCUGAUACUGACGCUCAUGCACGAAAGCGUGGGGAGCAAACAGG
rnacentral:rRNA from 1 species